CGGAAGAGAUAAGUGCUGAAAGCAUCUAAGCACGAAACUUGCCCGAAGAUGAGUUCUCCCUGAGACUUUAGGUCUCCUGAAGGAACGUUGAAGACGACGACGUUGAUAGGCCGGGUGUGUAAGCGCAGCGAUGCGUUGAGCUAACCGGUACUAAUGAACCGUGAGGCUUAACCUUACAACGCCGAAG
rnacentral:rRNA from 1 species